rnacentral:lncRNA from 1 species
UACUUAACAUUCAAACAUAUACAACACACACAUCUCACACAUAUCAAUAAGUUAAGACACAAAUCAUUCAGUCUUAAGCAUGUUAACACAGUAAUAGACAUAAAACAUUACAAUCAGAAAUGAAGAUGAAUACAAAUCAAUGAACUUUUUUUUCUUUUUUCUUCACUUCAAUGACCAAGAUUUAUCAUCCUUUGCAUUAAAAGCCUAAUACAUGUAUCUUUAAAGAAUUUGUUCCACCCAUGACAAACAUUUGUAUCAUUAUAUAUCUUUUUUUUCAAGAAGGCCAGGUAUACCUAUCAAAUGCAGUGCUAAAAAAUCUAACAUAAAAACAAAAAUAUGAACAACCUUGUACUGUGACAGUGUGAGGGUGAAUUAUACUAUAAUCAUUACUAUUUUUAAACAACCUAAUUGGGGCAACAGAUGACUUAAGAGAUUGACAGAACUCAUGGGUCCAAUCAGGUUCUUCCAAUCCUCAGUUAUUCAAUUACUUUUAAGCUGAUUUCUUAAUUGUAAGUCAGUGUACAAUGAUUAUGUACUUCAUACACAGCAAACCUCCCACUUUUCACUUCCCAUGUAAUUUUUUUCAAAUGUAAAACUUCCUUUGAUAUAAGGGGAAACUUUUUACAUGUGAUAGAUGUGAUAAAUAAAUG